rnacentral:rRNA from 1 species
GAUGAACGCUGGCGGCGUGCCUGAUACAUGCAAGUCGAGCGAAUGGAUUGAGAGCUUGCUCUUAUGAAGUUAGCGGCGGACGGGUGAGUAACACGUGGGUAACCUGCCCAUAAGACUGGGAUAACUCCGGGAAACCGGGGCUAAUACCGGAUAACAUUUUGAACCGCAUGGUUCGAAAUUGAAAGGCGGCUUCGGCUGUCACUUAUGGAUGGACCCGCGUCGCAUUAGCUAGUUGGUGAGGUAACGGCUCACCAAGGCAACGAUGCGUAGCCGACCGGAGAGGGUGAUCGGGCACACUGGGACUGGGACACCGCCCAGACUCCUACGGGGGGCAGCAGUAGGGAAUCUUCCGCAAUGGACGAAAGUCUGACGGAGCAACGCCGCGUGAGUGAUGAAGGCUUUCGGGUCGUAAAACUCUGUUGUUAGGGAAGAACAAGUGCUAGUUGAAUAAGCUGGCACCUUGACGGUACCUAACCAGAAAGCCACGGCUAACUACGUGCCAGCCGCCGCGGUAA